rnacentral:rRNA from 1 species
UAGUACGGCGAGUGAAGAGGGAAGAGCCCAAGAUUGAAAGCUGGCGUCUUCGGCGUCCGCAUUGUAAUCUCAAGAAGUGUUUUCCGCUUCGGACCAAGCCUAAGUCCCCUGGAAAGGGGCAUCAUAGAGGGUGAUAAUCCCGUACAUGGCUUGGAGCGCCCGAGGCUUUGUGAUACGCUUUCUAAGAGUCGAGUAGUUUGGGAAUGCAGCUCAAAAUGGGUGGUAAAUGCCAUCUAAGGCUAAAUAUUGGGGAGAGACCGAUAGCGAACAAGUACAGUGAUGGAAAGAUGAAAAGAACUUUGAAAAGAGAGUUAAACAGUACGUGAAAUUGCCAAAAGGGAAGGGUAGGAGGUCAGAGAUGCGGCCUGGGAUUCAGCCUUGCUUUUGCUUGGUGUUUUUCCCAGAUUGCAGGCCAACGUCGGUUUUGGGCACUGGAGAAGGGUAGGAGGAACGUGGCACCCCUCGGGGUGUGUUAUAGCCUCCUACUGGAUACAGCGACCGAGACCGAGGACAGCAGCGUACUCGCAAGAGCGGGCCUUCGGGCACCUUUACGCUUAGGGCGUUGGCAUAAUGGCCCUCUACCACCCGUCUGA